AUUGAACGCUGGCGGCAGGCCUAACACAUGCAAGUCGAACGAGUGGCGGACGGGUGAGUAAUGUCUGGGAAACUGACUGAUGGAGGGGGAUAACUACUGGAAAAGGUAGCUAAUACCGCAUAACAUCAGAUGUGCCCAGAUGGGAUUAGAUAGUUGGUGGGGUAACGGCUCACCAAGGCGACGAGCCCUAGCUGGUCUGAGAGGAUGACCAGCCACACUGGAACUGAGACACGGUCCAGACUCCAGCGGGAGGCAGCAGUGGGUAAUAUUGCACAAUGGGCGCAAGCUUGAUGCAGCCAUGCCGCGUGUAUGAAGAAGGCCUUCGUGUUGUAAAGUACUUUCAGCGGGGAGGCGUUACCCGCAGAAGAAGCACCGGCUAACUCCGUGCCAGCAGCCGCGGUAAUAC
rnacentral:rRNA from 1 species